rnacentral:rRNA from 1 species
AUUGAACGCUGGCGGCAUGCCUUACACAUGCAAGUCGAACGGUAACGGGCCUUCGGGUGCCGCCGAGUGGCGCACGGGUGAGUAAUACAUCGGAACGUGCCCGAUCUUGGGGGGUAACGAGGCGAAAGCUUUGCUAAUACCGCAUACGAUCUACGGAUGAAAGCAGGGGACCGCAAGGCCUUGCGCGGACGGAGCGGCCGAUGGCGGAUUAGGUAGUUGGUGGGAUAAAAGCUUACCAAGCCGACGAUCUGUAGCUGGUCUGAGAGGAUGAUCAGCCACACUGGGACUGAGACACGGCCCAGACUCCUACGGGAGGCAGCAGUGGGGAAUUUUGGACAAUGGGCGCAAGCCUGAUCCAGCCAUGCCGCGUGCAGGAUGAAGGCCUUCGGGUUGUAAACUGCUUUUGUACGGAAAGAAAAGCCUUCUGUUAAUACAGGAGGGUCAUGACGGUACCGUAAGAAUAAGCACCGGCUAACUACGUG